GACAGAGGGUGCAAACGUUGUUCGGAAUUACUGGGCGUAAAGCGCGUGUAGGCGGCCCUGCAAGUCGGAUGUGAAAGCCCUGGGCUUAACCUAGGAAGUGCAUUCGAAACUGCUGGGCUUGAGUUCUGGAGAGGAAGGCGGAAUUCUCGGUGUAGAGGUGAAAUUCGUAGAUAUCGAGAGGAACACCGGUGGCGAAGGCGGCCUUCUGGACAGUGACUGACGCUGAGACGCGAAAGCGUGGGGAGCAAACAGG
rnacentral:rRNA from 1 species